UUUAGGGCCAUAUCGCCCACCCCUACUUGGUGCCUAAAAAUAACGUUAUUUUUUAAAAUAACAACUUAGUAUAUCAAAAUUAUGACUUUGUGUCUCAAAACAAUGACCCAGGGCGUCCAUGUGAAUGAGUUAAACCUGUUUAGGAAGAGAAAAUCAUUAUAAUAAAGAGGAAAAACAGGUCUUGGGCUCCAUCAGAGCUGAGCUGCGUGUGUAAUCAUUAAGCAAACAGUGGGCUGACCACAUGAUCACAUGCACAUUCAGAGGGAGGUGGAAGAAGGGAGGGACCCAAAGUUCAAGACAAUACGUUUCACCAUAACUGACUAAUAACUGUUUCAGCUGUGGACCCAGCCUGUGAAGAACAUCAGCGCACUUUUUGGAAAAGGUGUUUCCUGUAUUUCGCCUUUUAAAUCUGACAGCUGACUACCUUUAAAUAAGACUCUAAAGCACCAUGGCUGUGGAGGGUGGAAUGAAAUGUGUGAAGUUCCUUCUUUUCUUCUUUAACUUUAUCUUCUGGGUACCUGCUGUCACUAAAUGAAUCCUCAAAUAUUUACUCUGGUGUUUCCCUGUGUGUGGAGGGGCUCUUAAACAAGGAUCUAACAGCCAACAGCGUCACGUCUCAUAGUUUGUCUUCCACAGAACUUGUUCUGAUUGGAUGUUUGUGAAGCAAUAAGACUUUGUAAGGUUGAUCCUAGUGCUGGACCAUAUGGCCAACAUUUAUAACUCAAUAUAUAUAUUCUUAAUUGAAAGCAUACAGGUAUACAUACAUCUUAUGUACAAUUUGU
rnacentral:lncRNA from 1 species